rnacentral:lncRNA from 1 species
GAGGAAGUAAUGUUGUAUAGUGGUUAUUAAUUUGUUUUAUAUAUUGUAGUUCAUGCUUGCAUAAACUAAAAAACGUGAACAUUUAAAUGAAAUUCGAAAAUUUGUGACUAAAAGACAAAUAUGUACUAGCGCUGAAAAUACAUAUCUCUUGAACAUGAAGGAUGAUCUCUUGAGUAUGAAAGGGCAUUCUUUGCAAAUCUUAAUGGAACCAACAUGACUUGUUGCUUAUCAAUAGUAGGAUAAAAUAGUGUGGCCUUGACAUGCUGUUAAUUAGAAAAAAAAACUGUGUUGAAACAAAAUAAAAAUGGCACAAGAGCCCGCACUAGGCCGACAAAUUAGCAAGGGAAACCACAGAUAAAUAUCACCGAAACAGCCGACGCGGCAACCAAAUUUUGUCAAUGAAAAAAACACGCUGCCUCAUGAGAAGCGCACCGUGCCCUUCACCGAGCAAACUAGGUCCACGAACCCGCUUAGAGAGCGGUAAAAUACCCUGAUAGGUAAAGGCACUACAUGACAACACCACAGGCACC